UAAAGCUCUUUUGUGCGGGAAGAAAUGACGGUACCGCAAGAAUAAGCCCCGGCUAACUUCGUGCCAGCAGCCGCGGUAAUACGAAGGGGGCAAGCGUUGCUCGGAAUCACUGGGCGUAAAGGGUGCGUAGGCGGGUUUUUAAGUCAGAGGUGAAAUCCUGGAGCUCAACUCCAGAACUGCCUUUGAUACUGGGAAUCUUGAGUAUGGAAGAGGUGAGUGGAACGGCGAGUGUAGAGGUGAAAUUCGUAGAUAUUCGCAAGAACACCAGUGGCGAAGGCGGCGCACAGGUCCAUAACUGACGCUGAGGUACGAAAGCGUGGGGAGCAAACAGGACUAGAUACCCUGGUAGUCCACGCCGUAAACGAUGAAUGCCAGCCGUUAGUGGGUUUACUCUCUAGUGGCGCAGCUAACGCUUUAAGCAUUUCGCCUGGGGAGUACGGUCGUAAGAUUAAAACUCUAAGGAAUUGACGGGGGCCCGCACAAGCGGUGGAGCAUGUGGUUUAAUUCGACGCUUCGCGCAGAACCUUACCAGCUCUUGACAUGUCUAGGACCGGCACCAGAGAUGGAGCCUUCUCUUC
rnacentral:rRNA from 1 species